UCAGACGAUGCGUCAUGCAUAUCAAUAAGCGGAGGAAAAGAAACUAACAAGGAUUCCCCUAGUAACGGCGAGUGAAGCGGGAAGAGCUCAAAUUUGAAAUCUUAAAGGGUUUCCCUUUACGAAUUGUAGUUUAAAGAAGUGUUUUCUGUUGAGGUUUUGGUAAGAGUUCUUUGGAAUAGGACAUCAUAGAGGGUGAGAAUCCCGUAUUUGACCUUUACUUUCAACUUUGUGAUACACUUUCAAAGAGUCGGAUUGUUUGGGAAUGCAGUCCAAAAUGGGUGGUAAAUUUCAUCUAAAGCUAAAUAUUGGCGAGAGACCGAUAGCGAACAAGUACCGUGAGGGAAAGAUGAAAAGAACUUUGAAAAGAGAGUUAAACAGUACGUGAAAUUGUCAAAAGGGAAGCGUUUGACACCAGUGUUGUUUUUCUGAAAAUCAAUUAAAGAACUGUUUAUGCUAAGUUGUUUAGACUUUAUCAGCUAACUGUUUAGUUUUGAGCUUUUCUUUAAUGCACUUUUCAGUUAACAAGUCAACAUCAAUUUCUUUUGCUGUAAAAAAGCUUGAGGAAGGUGGCUUGAGAUUCGUCUUAAGUGUUUAUAGCCUCUUGCCUAUGCAGUCGGAGAGAUUGAGGUCUGCAGCGUAGAUCCUUCGGGGCUAAAUGCAUUUGUGCUAAGUUAUAGCAUUUUAUAGACAACUUGUUGACUAUGAUUUGUCUUGUAGCUUACUCGCUUAUGUUAUUUUACCUACGCUUAGGAUGUUGACACACGCGCGUGCUCG
rnacentral:rRNA from 1 species